rnacentral:rRNA from 1 species
GGGUUGUGAGGUUAAGCGACUAAGCGUACACGGUGGAUGCCCUGGCAGUCAGAGGCGAUGAAGGGCGUGCUAAUCUGCGAUAAGCGCCGGUAAGGUGAUAUGAACCGUUAUAACCGGCGAUACCCGAAUGGGGAAACCCAGUGUGAUUCGUCACACUAUCAUUAACUGAAUCCAUAGGUUAAUGAGGCGAACCGGGGGAACUGAAACAUCUAAGUACCCCGAGGAAAAGAAAUCAACCGAGAUUCCCCCAGUAGCGGCGAGCGAACGGGGAGGAGCCCAGAGCCUGAAUCAGCAUGUGUGUUAGUGGAAGCGUCUGGAAAGGCGCGCGAUACAGGGUGACAGCCCCGUACACAAAAGCGCAUGUGCUGUGAGCUCGAUGAGUAGGGCGGGACACGUGGUAUCCUGUCUGAAUAUGGGGGGACCAUCCUCCAAGGCUAAAUACUCCUGACUGACCGAUAGUGAACCAGUACCGUGAGGGAAAGGCGAAAAGAACCCCGGCGAGGGGAGUGAAAAAGAACCUGAAACCGUGUACGUACAAGCAGUGGGAGCCCCACCACCAAAGCAUUCUCUGGUGUUGAAGGCCCUGCAAAGCAGCAUCGCGGUGGCGGAGCGUCGUUUGCGACGCCCAACACACAAAACAAGCGGUGAAUGCUUUGGGGUGGGGUGACUGCGUACCU